AGCGAACGCUGGCGGCAGGCUUAACACAUGCAAGUCGAGCGCCCCGCAAGGGGAGCGGCAGACGGGUGAGUAACACGUGGGAACGUACCCUUUGGUUCGGAACAACCCAGGGAAACUUGGGCUAAUACCGGAUAAGUCCGCGAGGAGAAAGAUUUAUCGCCGAAGGAUCGGCCCGCGUCUGAUUAGCUAGUUGGUGUGGUAACGGCGCACCAAGGCGACGAUCAGUAGCUGGUCUGAGAGGAUGAUCAGCCACACUGGGACUGAGACACGGCCCAGACUCCUACGGGAGGCAGCAGUGGGGAAUAUUGGACAAUGGGGGCAACCAUGAUCCAGCCAUGCCGCGUGAGUGAUGAAGGCCCUAGGGUUGUAAAGCUCUUUCGGUGGGGAAGAUAAUGACGGUACCAACAGAAGAAGCCCCGGCUAACUUCGUG
rnacentral:rRNA from 1 species